rnacentral:rRNA from 1 species
CCCAGUGAACAAUUAAACGGCCGCGGUACCCUAACCGUGCAAAGGUAGCAUAAUCAUUUGUCUACUAAUUAUAGACCUGUAUGAAAGGCAAAAUGAGGGUCUGACUGUCUCUUAUAAUAAAUCAAUUAAACUGAUCUCCUAGUAAAAAAGCUAGAAUUACUACAUAAGACCAGAAGACCCUGUGAAGCUUAAACUACACUAUUAAACCACAUAAUAACCACUUUCGGUUGGGGCGACCUUGGAAAAAAAAAGAACUUCCAACAACUAUAAUUAUUCAUGACCACUAGGCCUACAAGCCACAAACGACCCAGCAUCGCUGAUCAAUGAACCAAGUUACUCCAGGGAUAACAGCGCAAUCCUCUUCAAGAGCCCAUAUCAAAAAGAGGGUUUACGACCUCGAUGUUGGAUCAGGA